rnacentral:rRNA from 1 species
UAGUUCAGCACUAAGUCACUUUGUCUUAAUGGCAAAUGUCAGAUGCAGUGUAUGGAAUGUCAAAUUUCUAGUAUGAGAAAUUAACGAUUUAAGUCCUUCUUAAAUGAGGCCAUUUACCCAAAGAGGGUGCCAGGCCCGUAUAACGUUAAUGAUUACUAGAUGGCAUUUCCAAAGAGUCGUGUUGCUUGAUAGUGCAGCACUAAGUGGGUGGUAAACUCCAUCUAAAACUAAAUAUAACCAUGAGACCGAUAGUAAACAAGUACCGUGAGGGAAAGUUGAAAAGAACUCUGAAUAGAGAGUUAAAUAGUACGUGAAACUGCUUAGAGGUUAAGCCCGAUGAACCUGAAUAUCCAUUAUAGAAAAUUCAUCAUUAUGAUUUUAAUAUUUAUAAUAUUAUAAUAAUGGUGUGCAUUUUUUCUAUAAAAGGACAUUGUAAUCUAUUAACAUCAAAUAUUUAUCAAAAGAUCAAUUGCAAAUGUUUAUUCAAAUUAUUUUGCUUGCAAUUUAACAUAGAAUAAAUGCUUUUGAUUUGAUAAAGUGUUGAUAGAUUUAUUAUAUAUAGUGCUUAAAUAUUUAUAUUUUAUAAUAGCAUAUUAAUCAUUGAUUUUUAUGUUUAUUAUAUGCACUUAUAUGAUUAACAAUGCGAAAGAUUCAGGAUACCUUCGGGACCCGUCUUGAAACACGGACCAAGGAGUCUAACAUAUUUGCAAGUUAUUGGGAAUAAAAACCUAAUAGCGAAAUUAACAUAACUUAUAUAAUGGGAUUAAUUUUUAGCCUAUUUAUAGUCUAUUAAUUCAAUCCCGGGGCGUUCUAUAUAGUUAUGUAUAAUAAUAUUUAUAUUAUUUAUACCUCUAACUAGAGCGUACCUUGAGCAUAUAUGCUGUGACCCGAAAGAUGGUGAACUAUACUUGAUCAGGUUGAAGUCAGGGGAAACCCUGAUGGAAGACCGAAACAGUUCUGACGUGCAAUCGA